GUAACAUGCUCGUGACGAGCAUUUUCUGAAAAUCAAGCCUACUCCAGGGUAUAAAAUCAAGAAAGCUUAAUAUAUCCGGUUAAAUUGUAUUUGGAAGGUUUCUAAUAUUGAUAUCGUUCUAACAUACAGAGGAAGCAUGUCAAGUGGGCAACCAAAGAGCGGAUAUGGGGACUCGAAGGCCAAUCAGGACAAUAAGAGCGACCAGUGCAACCCGAACAACCCUAGCUACCAGGGCCAUCAAACUGGGUACACGGGCACAGGGACAAAACCUGACCUUGAUAACCAUGGUAACCAGAAGAAUCCGAACAACGAGCGUUUCCAAGCGCCGAAAAAAUGACCCGACGGGUGGCUUGACAUUUAUGUGAUUUAUGGUUACGACUGCCCAUCAUUGUAACGAAUAAAACAGAUACAAACAUAAAA